rnacentral:rRNA from 1 species
GACGUAGGGGGCGAGCGUUGUCCGGAUUUAUUGGGCGUAAAGCGUGCGUAGGCGGCUGCGCAAGUCGGGUGUGAAACCCCGGGGCUCAACCCCGGAACUGCAUCCGAUACUGCGUGGCUAGAGGUAGGUAGGGGAGAUCGGAAUUCCUGGUGUAGCGGUGAAAUGCGCAGAUAUCAGGAGGAACACCAAUUGCGAAGGCAGCUCGCUGGGACGUUACUGACGCUGAGACGCGAAAGCGUGGGGAGCAAACAGG